UACGAGGGGGGCAAGCGUUGUUCGGAGUUACUGGGCGUAAAGGGUGCGUAGGCGGCUUUUUAAGUUUGGUGUGAAAUCUCCCGGCUCAACUGGGAGGGUGCGCCGAAUACUGAGAGGCUAGAGUGCGGGAGAGGAAAGUGGAAUUCCUGGUGUAGCGGUGAAAUGCGUAGAUAUCGGGAGGAACACCUGUGGCGAAGGCGGCUUUCUGGGCCCUACCUGACGCUGAGACGCGAAAGCGUGGGGAGCGAACCGG
rnacentral:rRNA from 1 species